rnacentral:rRNA from 1 species
AUUGAACGCUGGCGGCAUGCCUUACACAUGCAAGUCGAACGGCAGCACGGGAGCUUGCUCCUGGUGGCGAGUGGCGAACGGGUGAGUAAUACAUCGGAACGUACCCUGAAGUGGGGGAUAACGUAGCGAAAGUUACGCUAAUACCGCAUAUUCUGUGAGCAGGAAAGAGGGGGAUCGCAAGACCUCUUGCUUUAGGAGCGGCCGAUGUCGGAUUAGCUAGUCGGUGAGGUAAAGGCUCACCAAGGCGACGAUCCGUAGCGGGUCUGAGAGGAUGAUCCGCCACACUGGGACUGAGACACGGCCCAGACUCCUACGGGAGGCAGCAGUGGGGAAUUUUGGACAAUGGGCGCAAGCCUGAUCCAGCCAUGCCGCGUGAGUGAAGAAGGCCU